AAAUGUGUCACUUCCUGUGGACAUAACACCUGAGUUUCCUGUGGGCAGCUGGUCCUUAGCAUUGACAUAUAUCCUUAGUUAGGUCUCAGUAAACUAGGAUCUGUUGCAGUGCAGUCAUUUAGGAUUAGAAUAGGGGGGUGUUACUGUAACACCAUGCCCAGUGUACACCUUUACGGAGUAAUACGCAAGCUAACAACGGGUGAAGCUGCGGAUGUGGAAAUGGAUUUGUAUGACAUGCCGAAAUAGUCAGAGCUAAACUAAAGGUUUAUAAAAUCCCAUGGAAUAUGAGAGGUCGCGCAGUUUGUCCACCGUUCUGCUGUGGAUGAUCGUGUUGAACGCGGAACUAAAGUCCGCAAACGGCACCCUCACAUAUGAGCCGGGGCUCUCCCAGGUGAUGAGAACAAAGUAGGUGGCCGGUGUCUUCUUGCUGCACGCUUUAUAUAGAGUGAGAGCCUCAGCUUCAGAGUAAUACGAGGCACCCGGCAACAGCAGCUGGGAGCUCCGUGGAAACCAUCGUGUUCCUGUGUGAAGCCAUUGAGUCAUCUGCUGAAAUGGAGCCCAGUACCACUGAUGGCAACCAGGACCUAGUCCUGUUCUGGGACGAGAUCUCCCCAGUGCAAAGACUCAAGUGUCAGGUCCUGCAGGAUGUGAAGCCCGUCCUCAGACUGACGGCCAGCAGCGACCACCAAAGGAUUCACGCAACGCUCCUGCAGGUGAUGGCCAGCAGCAGUCGCCUGGAGCAGAAGUUGGAGCGCAGCCUGUGGACCCUGAAGGUUGUUAUGGUCCUGGCCAUGGUCUGGACAGCUUUGUGGGGCUUCACUCUGUACAUCCACUAUUCAGCUAGCUAUUUUAACCGCUGGAUCACGGCUAAAAACUGAGGCAGGAAAGUCUGUGUGUGUGUGUGUUUGUGUUUGACCUGCAACAUAAAUUCUGGACUCCUGGAAGUUGACAUCUUUUUACAUUGUGAUGUUUAUAUGGGUCAACUGUAUAUGGAUGCAGCUAUACUCCAGAGGCAUAGAUAAUGCACGCACACCGUGGAAACUAAUUUCCCUCCUGGGGACAAUAAAGUCUUUCUCAUCUAUC